AGGUGUUGUGACUUUUUUUUUCCUGCCUGCGUCCUGCCACAGUGAAAAUUGUGACAUAUCACUGGACCAGCACUCGGGAUUUGACAUCCCUUCUCACUCUCUAUGCACAGGAAAGAUUGUGGCAUAUUACUGAACUAAGCAACCUAGUGACGUGUCUCUUCUGACUGGGGCUUGCCCACAGAGACAACUGUGACAUAGCACUGAGCCCAGGACCCAGGUGAUGUGACUCUGCUGCCUGUUUCCAACAUUCAUGAGAGGAUGGUAACUAUCCCUUGCCAAGAACUCAGGUGAUUUGACUGUCCUGCCUUGUUGCUGCCCUCAGAGAAGAUUGUGAUAUAUCUUCAGCCCCAAACCCAGACUUUCCUGCAGGAGUGAUGCUGACAUGUUCCUCUAUUUGGCAUCUGAGUGAUAUGACUCUUGCCAUGGUCUAGCCCACAGAUGGAAUUGUGAUGUGUUGCUGUACCCAGCACCUAGGUGAUGUAACUCCAUUUUUCUGCCUUGGCAUUGCUCACAAAAGGUAUUUUGACAUAUCUCUGGGGUAUGUACCCAGGUUUCAUGACUCUCUUGCCUGUGCCCUGUCCACAAAUUGUCAUGAAAUAUUGCUGGGUCCAACACCCAGGGAUGUAACUCUCAUGCCUAGGCCCUGCCAACAGGGGGAAUUGUGACAAAUCUGUGUCAAUAACCCAGGUUAUGUGACUCUCUUUUUUUGCCUGGUCCCUGCUCACAGAGGGCAUUAUGACAUAUUGCUGAACUCAGCACCUAACUGAUGUGAUUCUCCUUUCUAGUUUUUGCCCACAGGGGAGAUUGUGACAUAUCACUGGGCCUCAAACUAAGGUGAAGUUACACUUUCAUUUUCGAACUGUACUCAGAAGGCAUCGUGACAUAUUCCUGGGCCCAGCACCAAGGUGAUGUGAGUCUCCUGCCUGCACUUUGCCCACAAAUGGCAUUGUAACAUAUCUUUAGACCUAUCAACUACUUGAUAUGACUUAUUUUUUUAAAGUGAAAGCAAGUUUAUUAGAGAAGUAAAUAAACAAAAGAAUGGCUACUCCAUAGACAGAGAAGACCUCAGGGCUGCUCAUUGGCUCUUUUCAUGGUUAUUUCUUGAGUACAUACUAAACAAGGGAUGGAUUAUUUGUGAGUUUUCCAGGGAAAGGAUGGGCAAUUUCCAGAACUCAGGGUGCCUUCC
rnacentral:lncRNA from 1 species